rnacentral:rRNA from 1 species
AUACGGAGGGUGCAAGCGUUACUCGGAAUCACUGGGCGUAAAGCGCGCGCAGGCGGCUAUUUAAGUUGGAUGUGAAAGCCUACGGCUCAACCGUAGAACUGCAUCCAAAACUAUUUAGCUAGAGUGUGGGAGAGGAAGAUGGUAUUAGUUGUGUAGGGGUAAAAUCCGUAGAGAUAACUAGGAAUACCAAAAGCGAAGGCAAUCUUCUGGAACACUACUGACGCUGAGGCGCGAAAGCGUGGGGAGCAAACGGGAUUAGAAACCCCAGUAGUCC